UACAGAGGGUGCGAGCGUUAAUCGGAAUUACUGGGCGUAAAGCGUGCGCAGGCGGUUAUUUAAGACAGUUGUGAAAUCCCCGGGCUCAACCUGGGAACUGCAUCUGUGACUGCAUAGCUAGAGUACGGUAGAGGGGGUGGAAUUCCACGUGUAGCAGUGAAAUGCGUAGAGAUGUGGAGGAAUACCGAUGGCGAAGGCAGCCCCCUGGGAUAACACUGACGCUCAUGCACGAAAGCGUGGGGAGCAAACAGG
rnacentral:rRNA from 1 species